UACAGAGGGGCAAGCGUUGUUCGGAAUUACUGGGCGUAAAGGGCGCGUAGGCGGCCUGUUAAGUCGAACGUGAAAUCCCCGGGCUCAACCCGGGAACUGCGUCCGAUACUGGCAGGCUUGAAUCCGGGAGAGGGAUGUGGAAUUCCAGGUGUAGCGGUGAAAUGCGUAGAUAUCUGGAGGAACACCGGUGGCGAAGGCGGCAUCCUGGACCGGCAUUGACGCUGAGGCGCGAAAGCCCAGGGGAGCGAAAACGGG
rnacentral:rRNA from 1 species